UGCAGGCUCGCCCAGCCCCCCCAACCGCCGCCCACCGGGCUGGCGCAGGUUCUAGGUGUUACAGGCGUUCAUUUUCCUGCUUGCUGCGAAACAAGAGCCUGCGUGUGCUAGUCCAGUCUUACCAGAUCCAUCCUGGAGGCCGACCUCAUUGUGUGGUGGUCGAGGACUCAAAUCGGUCCGAUUUUAAAAUGAAGGAAAUUCUGUCACUUGGGACGAUGUGGAAUGAACUUGAAGGAUGUUAAGCAGAGUAGGCCCCGGAAGAAUACUUACGGAUCUCAUAGAAGGACCGUUUAAAAAGUCUCACCAACAGAGUAGGGUGGGUGGUUCCUG